UAUCUGUUUUGACUUAUGGGAUGUCUGAGGGUCGGACUAAUCUGUUAAACUCCUCCAGUGGACCUGAUGAACAGCCAUACGGCGAGGUAGCAGAACAUCACAUGGACAGACAGAUAACGGUGUGUUCAUGCGUCGUCCUCAGGUCUGUUUGGAGCAAACUGGGAUGUGACACCGUGAAAACCAACAUGAAUGGGAAAUGACCUGCUUAUGCAACGUUUCACGGUGAACGGUUCCUUUCACCGUCAGGAUCUCUGGCUGUCAGCUGUAGGCCGGUGUCGAUUUCAGUCACUGUUCUGCUGGUAACCGGACCCCAGAACUACCAAAACUAAGUCCCUCUGCUGAACCUGUAAAUCAUCAGCCAAUCCCUUUGAUGAACAGGCCGCUCGCCUCUGCCAGCCCCUCCCUGCAGCCCUCCUCACUUCUUAUCGCCGCCACCUGAAGAAUCCAAAUGAGCAAUCCCUGAGUCACCGCGUUUCCGACCUUCAAUCACAGCCGCUUAUCACUGCAGUCCCCAGGCGGCCUCUGUACGAUGAGCAAGCGUGGCGUGAUGAGGAAGAGGCGGCGCUUUACACGCAGACCUGCUUUGGCUUCAAAAACCAGCUUCCAAGUCAGAACACCAAAAUGUUUUUUCAAAAAAUUAAAAAAAAAACUUACGGAAAACUAUAAAAAAUACUUCACACAGAGUGAUUUCUCUCGUCUAUCUAUACUUUGAAGUAUUUUCAUAAUGUCAUAAUUCUAAGAAAACGACUAAAUCCACAAACUAGUAGUGUGAAUGUCUAGUAAACAUUCACUCUAUAGUGAUUCUCCUGCUGCUUUCUGUACGUUUUUCUGCACAUAAAAACUCAA